rnacentral:rRNA from 1 species
GACGAACGCUGGCGGCGUGCUUAACACAUGCAAGUCGAACGAUGAAACCGGAGCUUGCUCCGGUGGAUUAGUGGCGAACGGGUGAGUAACACGUGAGUAACCUGCCCUUGACUCUGAGAUAACUGCGGGAAACUGUAGCUAAUACCGGAUACGACCCUCGGAGGCAUCUCCUGGGGGUGGAAAGAAUUUCGGUCAAGGAUGGACUCGCGGCCUAUCAGCUAGUUGGUGAGGUAACGGCUCACCAAGGCGACGACGGGUAGCCGGCCUGAGCGGGUGACCGGCCACACUGGGACUGAGACACGGCCCAGACUCCUACGGGAGGCAGCAGUGGGGAAUAUUGCACAAUGGGCGCAAGCCUGAUGCAGCAACGCCGCGUGAGGGAUGACGGCCUUCGGGUUGUAAACCUCUUUUAGCAGGGAAGAAGCGAAAGUGACGGUACCUGCAGAAAAAGCACCGGCUAACUACGUGCCAGCAGCCGCAGUAA